GGUAUUUUGACCGUGCAAAGGUAGCGUAAUCACUUGUCUUUUAAAUGAAGACCUGUAUGAAUGGCAUAACGAGGGCUUAGCUGUCUCCUCUCUCCAGUCAAUGAAGUUGAUUUCCCCGUGCAGAAGCGGGGAUAAUUACAUAAGACGAGAAGACCCUAUGGAGCUUGAGACGGUAGGGCAGCCCAUGUUAAACACCCCUCUAUGCCGGGCUAAACUAAAUGGCCCCUGCCUUAAUGUCUUCGGUUGGGGCGACCCUGGGGAAUACAAAACCCCCACGUGGAACAGGAGCACCCCCCCCCACCAACUCCUCCAAACUAGAGCCACACCUCAAAUUAACAAAACUUUUGACCAAAAUGAUCCGGCAAUGCCGAUCAACGGACCAAGUUACCCUAGGGAUAACAGCGCAAUCCCCUUUUAGAGCCCAUAUCGACAAGGGGGUUUACGACCUCGAUGUUGGAUCAGGACAUCCUAAUGGUGCAGCCGCUAUUAAGGGUUCGUUUGUUCAACGAUUAAAGUCCUACGUGAUCUGA
rnacentral:rRNA from 1 species